rnacentral:rRNA from 1 species
AACGAACGCUGGCGGCAUGCCUAACACAUGCAAGUCGAACGAGACCUUCGGGUCUAGUGGCGCACGGGUGCGUAACGCGUGGGAAUCUACCCUUAGGUUCGGAAUAACUCAGGGAAACUUGAGCUAAUACCGGAUGAUGACUUCGGUCCAAAGAUUUAUCGCCUAAGGAUGAGCCCGCGUAGGAUUAGCUAGUUGGUGAGGUAAAGGCUCACCAAGGCUACGAUCCUUAGCNGGUCUGAGAGGAUGAUCAGCCACACUGGGACUGAGACACGGCCCAGACUCCUACGGGAGGCAGCAGUGGGGAAUAUUGGACAAUGGGCGAAAGCCUGAUCCAGCAAUGCCGCGUGAGUGAUGAAGGCCUUAGGGUUGUAAAGCUCCUUUACCCGGGAUGAUAAUGACAGUACCGGGAGAAUAAGC